CAGUCGCCACGGUAAUACGUAGGUGGCGAGCGUUGUCCGGAAUCAUUGGGCGUAAAGGGAGCGCAGGCGGGCAUGUAAGUCUUUCUUAAAAGUUCGGGGCUCAACCCCGUGAUGGGAAAGAAACUACAUGUCUUGAGUACAGGAGAGGAAAGCGGAAUUCCCAGUGUAGCGGUGAAAUGCGUAGAUAUUGGGAGGAACACCAGUGGCGAAGGCGGCUUUCUGGACUGCAACUGACGCUGAGGCUCGGAAGCCAGGGGAGCGAACGGGAUUAGAUACCCCUGUAGUCCCUGUCUCUUAUACA
rnacentral:rRNA from 1 species